rnacentral:rRNA from 1 species
UGGGGAAUCUUGGACAAUGGGCGCAAGCCUGAUCCAGCCAUGCCGCGUGGAUGAUGAAGGCCUUAGGGUUGUAAAAUCCUUUCGUGGGGGACGAUAAUGACGGUACCCCAAGAAGAAGCUCCGGCUAACUUCGUGCCAGCAGCCGCGGUAAUACGAAGGGGGCUAGCGUUGUUCGGAUUUACUGGGCGUAAAGCGCGUGUAGGCGGGUCGUUAAGUUGGGGGUGAAAUCCCGAGGCUCAACCUCGGAACUGCCUUCAAAACUGGCGACCUGGACCCAAGUAGAGGCAAGUGGAAUUGCGAGUGUAGAGGUGAAAUUCGUAGAUAUUCGCAGGAACACCAGUGGCGAAGGCGACUUGCUGGACUUGUGGUGACGCUGAGACGCGAAAGCGUGGGGAGCAAACAGGAUUAGAUACCCCUGUAGUCCCUGAGCGGGCUGGCAAGGCGCAU